rnacentral:rRNA from 1 species
UACGUGAGGGGCGAACGUUGUUCGGUGUCACUGGGCUUAAAGGGCGCGUAGGUGGCUGCGUAAGUAAGGUGUGAAAGCCCUCGGCUUACCCGGGGAAUUGCGCCUUAUACUGCGUGGCUUGAGGAUUUCAGGGGAAGGGGGAACUCCAGGUGUAGCGGUGAAAUGCGCAGAUAUCUGGGGGAAGGCCGGCGGCGAAGGCGCCCUUCUGGGAAAUUCCUGACACUGAGGCGCGAAAGCGUGGGGAGCAAACAGG